UCUUCCACAAUGGACGCAAGUCUGAUGGAGCAACGCCGCGUGAGUGAAGAAGGGUUUCGGCUCGUAAAGCUCUGUUGUUAAAGAAGAACGUGGGUAAGAGUAACUGUUUACCCAGUGACGGUAUUUAACCAGAAAGCCACGGCUAACUACGUGCCAGCAGCCGCGGUAAUACGUAGGUGGCAAGCGUUAUCCGGAUUUAUUGGGCGUAAAGCGAGCGCAGGCGGUCUUUUAAGUCUAAUGUGAAAGCCUUCGGCUCAACCGAAGAAGUGCAUUGGAAACUGGGAGACUUGAGUGCAGAAGAGGACAGUGGAACUCCAUGUGUAGCGGUGAAAUGCGUAGAUAUAUGGAAGAACACCAGUGGCGAAGGCGGCUGUCUGGUCUGCAACUGACGCUGAGGCUCGAAAGCAUGGGUAGCGAACAGG
rnacentral:rRNA from 1 species